CCUACGGGGGGCUGCAGUGGGGAAUCUUGCGCAAUGGGCGAAAGCCUGACGCAGCGACGCCGCGUGGGGGAGGAAGCUCUUCGGAGUGUAAACCCCUGUCAGGAGGGAAGAAUGGGCACUCCAGGAAAUGGGAGUGUUUUGACGGUACCUCCAAAGGAAGCACCGGCUAACUCUGUGCCAGCAGCCGCGGUAAUACAGAGGGUGCGAGCGUUGUUCGGAAUUACUGGGCGUAAAGCGCGCGCAGGCGGUCCUUUAAGUCUACCCGUGAAAUGCCG
rnacentral:rRNA from 1 species